GACGAACGCUGGCGGCGUGCUUAACACAUGCAAGUCGAACGGUGAAGCGCCUUCCUUUUUGGUGGGUGUGGAUGAGUGGCGAACGGGUGAGUAACACGUGAGUAACCUGCCCCCUUCUUCUGGAUAACCGCAUGAAAGUGUGGCUAAUACGGGAUAUUCUGGGUCUGUCGCAUGAUGGGUCUGGGAAAGAUAUUGUUUCGGUGGGGGAUGGGCUCGCGGCCUAUCAGCUUGUUGGUGGGGUGAUGGCCUACCAAGGCGGUGACGGGUAGCCGGCCUGAGAGGGUGGACGGUCACACUGGGACUGAGACACGGCCCAGACUCCUACGGGAGGCAGCAGUGGGGAAUAUUGCACAAUGGGCGCAAGCCUGAUGCAGCGACGCCGCGUGAGGGGUGGAGGCCUUCGGGUUGUGAACCUCUUUCGCCAGUGAAGCAGGCCUGCCUCGUUUGUGGGUGGGUUGACGGUAGCUGGAGAAGAAGCGCCGGCUAACUACGUG
rnacentral:rRNA from 1 species